rnacentral:rRNA from 1 species
CACGUAGGGGACGAGCGUUGUCCGGAUUCAUUGGGCGUAAAGCGCGUGUAGGCGGCCAGGUAGGUCCGCUGUGAAAACUCGAGGCUCAACCUCGAGAUGUCGGCGGAAACCAUCUGGCUAGAGUCCGGAAGAGGAGAGUGGAAUUCCCGGUGUAGCGGUGAAAUGCGCAGAUAUCGGGAAGAACACCCGUGGCGAAGGCGGCUCUCUGGGACGGUACUGACGCCGAGACGCGAAAGCGUGGGGAGCGAACAGG